CCCUUAGAUGUCCUGGGCCGCACGCGCGCUACACUGCGUGUCUGAGAUACGAGUCUGCCUGGUCCGGCAAGGUCUAGGUAAUCGCUAAAAGACACAUCAUGCUUGGGAUAGAUUAUUGCAAAUAUUAAUCUUGAACGAGGAAUUCCUAGUAAGCGCAAGUCAACAGCUUGCGUUGAUUACGUCCCUGCCCUUUGUACACACCGCCCGUCGCUACUACUGAUUGGAUGUUUAAGCGAGGUUCUCGAACUGCUAGCGACUUAGCUUCGGUGAGGUCGCAGUGUGGGAAGUGAACCUAGCUUUGGUGUCUAGAGGAAGUAAAAGUCGUAACA
rnacentral:rRNA from 1 species